CCACCUGUCCUAGAGCAGAGGGAGGUGGGGAAAGUGCUUGCAAUUCACUCUCUCAUCCACAACCCAAAUCCCGCUUCCCAGGCAGCCGGGUGACCCCCAGUAAUUGCUUUGGGAGGUAAAGAAUAAAGCAGCAUUUUCUCCUCCUUUCCUUCUACACCAUUCUCCUGUAGGAUUCUUGUGUAACAAUACUCCCAGCGAUACUGUUUUCCUGCAAAGAUUAAAAAUGGGCUGGUGCAAAGAUUGCACGUGCAGGAGGAGAAUUCAUGCCCCGGUGUGACACCACUCGCCUUGGGAGCUGCCACGGGCGAGGGAGAGGAGGGUGCCUGGGUGCCUGGUUCGUUAAUGUCUCAUUAAAUUUACUUUCACUGCAGCACUUCCCAUCUCCUGGGAUGCUGCCCGAGCUUUUGCUGGGACUGGGUGUGUUUGGGGAAUUACAUAGUUGCAGAAGUACUUUCUCAACCAAAUCAAAGAUUGCCCAGUUUGAUGAUUUUUGUUAUUAUAAGGUUUGGGGUUUUUAAAAAUGAACAUUUAUUCUUCCUUCCUGAGAUUUCACAGGUUCUGGAAGAAAUUUCAUAGUAGCCAAAUUUUCUGACUGCCUGUGUGAUGAUGGCAGAAUAUGUAAUCCUGUAACUUGGAAAUGAUCUUUUGGGGGAUUUUUGCUGUCUGCCCAACCUUCUUAAUUUGCAAGAUUUUUAGAGAAGUGACUCAACUGAUUUGUUUAAUGCUUGGCACAGUUGGGCACUGAAAUGAAAUAGUUCUAAUAAUGUCCCUAAUUGCAAUGCCCUUGUUGCCUCUGUUGGGGCUUCCUGUCUUUGCCCUCACAGAAAAUAUCUAUCAUUAUCCUGUUAGAGAGAAACAACAGCUCCUUUGGAAGAGGAAGUUUGUUUUUUUUACUGGAUGUUACUCCUAUUUUCCAUAAGCAACGGCCACCCCACCCCGUGUGUGCAGCGAGGCUCCUGAGUCACUCAGCGCGAAGCACCGACCGGCUCGUGCACCUUGCUAGGGAGGCCCCAAAAUCCCCUCUGAAGAAGAGAAGAGGCAUCUUUCUUCAGCUGAUAAUUACAGAUGAAAAAAUGUUGCCUGGAAGCAAGAAAAAAAAAUAGAAAUUCCAGACCUGGCAGGUCCAGGGCACGUUUGCUUGUGCAAAUGCAGCUUCUAGCUGCUGGGGAGAGCCUGGGGUGACAGCAGCAAACAGGACAGCCAGGGUGGGAGCAUCCCCUGCCGCAGCUGGGGCCAGGGCUGGGGUUCACCCCCCUCUCUGUCCGUGGGCGGAUCUGGGACGUGCGGGGAUGAAGGUCAGAGCAGCCAUAGGGUGUCUCUAAUAGAUGGUUGAUCAUAUGUCUGCUUCUGGCCAUGGACACUCGUGGGAGAAGUUACUGCUCUCGGCCAACUGCCUGCUGCUCCCCGAGAUCCUCAGAUGCCAAACGUUGGGUAAGCAAAUGGAAAAAAAAAAAUCUCAAAUACUCAGGACCACUGCAGUAACUGAUCCGCUUGGCUACGCUCCCAGUCUUUAUAUCUCUUUCCUCUCUUAUCUCCCCCUCACCAUCCUAGAAGAGAACUAAAAAUCAGAAAAAGCGCUAACUGGGGAGAGGAGCUACAAAGCAACCGGUGGCACGGUGCACCCUUGCGACGACACAGGACCGGAGGGAUGAGGACACCACGGAGACCAACUUCUGGCCUCUGCCGACUGCAGGCGAUGCUGUGACGUGUCGCUGUCUAAUGGCUUUCAGCACGCCAAAUGCAAAGUGAGGCCUACUUCAGCAAGGAGAAGUGGAGCUGAUUAAGUUUCUCUUUAAUUAUAACAAGGAAAUGGCACGUGCAAGUGCCGUUGCUUCAGACGAGAAACAUGUGGCAGUCACCAAGUUAAAGCUGUAUCCUGUAAACCUUUCCAGUACGUGAGACCGAGACUUGAAUUCCUGCUGCUGCAGGGCCAAGGGGAGGAGAGGAAAAAGGAUUUGAGCAUGGCCCAAGCUGUGGUGGAUGGGACUUGUUUCAGGAGAGCUCAGCUACCUGCGAAACGUGAGCCCUGCCAGGGUUGGGGCAGAGUCCGGUGCAACAUGUGUGCGCGCACGGCAUUUACUGCACUAGUAGGCAGCUCCGGCAGCAAUAUAAGGAGUGUAAAGUUUAAACUUAUAAAGCAUCAAUGCAGAGACCAGGAUGGAGCAGCAGACCAGCAAAACGCAGGCUUGCUCAGAAAUGUGUCCACACAGAUUGGAGCCAGAGCCCCUCGGUAGCUGGCUCGUGGCAUCACGGCAUCCACGUGGACCCUCGUAAUGGUGAUUAAGAGCAGCUCCAUGAAUUUGGAAAGGGGGCAAAGGAGGCUACCUCCUCCUCAGGGGCAUUUUGAGCUCCCAGCUGAGCGCAGAGGGGUGCAUGUGCUGGUGAAGUACAUGGGACGUGCUCCAUGGGGCUGUGACCUGUUUGGAGGGGCAAGAUGCAGUUGCGUGACGGUAAGCACAGAGCACAAAUUAAGUGAAAGCUAUUAGGUGGGUGAACAUCAGUCCCAGCACACCGGGGCAUCCCCAGACAGAGGGCUCUGCACCGCAGGGGAUGGCUGAUGCUUGCUCUGAUCCUGACCUGCAUGGGCAGCUCCUGGCCGGGACGCAAUCCGGCCUCACAGAUAGAGUCUGAUCUCUCCUGUAGACCUUGAUCCUGCAAGAGGAACUACAGGGAUGGGUUUUCAAAAUCAGCCAGAACGAGUGGGAUCCAGGCCUUAUCUGAGAUAACAACAGAAGUAGCCACGUGAUUGCUUGUCCCUGUUUACAGGGGCAAUAUUUUUCCAAAGUUCAAAGUCUCUCUGCAGAAAGCAUGUGAUGUGCUUCAGUCGCAACAUAGUUUUGGUGCUAUGAACAAUUAAAAAAUCUAUUUCUGGAGCAAUAUUUUGUAUGUUUGUAAUCUCUGAACUAAUUACAGAACUGGAAAAUCAAUAGCUAUCUGGAAAUCUUUCCAAUACGGCUAACUAAGGAUGCUACAUAGCAUGCUGGAAUAUAUUCUUCACGAACACAUGAUGCUCAUAACCAUUUCCCAGAUCAUAUGGGCAGAUGAUAUCACUGUCUCAAGCGUCUGUACUUCAUUACACUGCAAGGGCAACAUUUACCAAAAUCUGCAGGGGAGAUUGGGCAGAGUGAAUAGCACAGUACGUGAGAUCUGGAGCAACAUCCGAUUCCAGCAUUUUAAGCCAACAACAAAAGGAGUUGAAAGACUCUGUUAGUUCAACAGGAAUCUUCAAAAAGAUUAUGAAACAAAGUCAUUAAAAGUUCAUGCCUCAGUUAUAAUGUGGUUUUUUCAUCAGGCUUUAUUUAAAGAAAAAAAAGUAAAACCUUUGGUGACUGAAAAUAACCUCUGUCUCUAGUCUCCUAGCAAGAGAGAAGAAGUGUUAAAUGGGUAGUUCAAUGGCAAUUACACUUCAAAAACACACAUAAAGAGGAAGGGUGUUGCUCUGAUGAAUAUGAUCUCUUGCUGUACAAACACGCUGUGUUGACCAUGGCAACUCGGUUGGAGCCAAAGCCCAAACCCUUGUGCCGAUGCUCUGCACCACUUCCCACAGACCGCAGGCGUUGCUGGGAUCCUAUUUGAGACACUGCCGCCUCACUCGUGCCCUGCGAGAGCUCCGUGUGCUCUUCCUUGGUACGGUGGAGUUUGUGCUGUUGCUAAAUGAAGAGUAAAUAUUCCCAUCAGACACGGUGCCAAAAGCACAGCAAGUGGAUAAGAAGCAAAGACCACAGCACAGCUUUUUUCCCCCCAGUGAAUCGAGCAGAGGAAAAAGUGGGACUGGGGUACACCUCUGCCCUCGCUCCCUCCCCAAGCCGGGGGAUUCCCACAGUUGCAUCCCUACCCGCAGCUCUCCGACGUGGCUGAUCCUCAUCCUGGAGCAGAGCUUUGGGUCUAGCAACCCAUGAAGGAAAAAAAGGCUGUGGUGUCUGCGCAUCACCUAAUGGAAAAGACUGGAGAAAAAAGAGCUCAGACCCUUCAGAAAUCUUUCAAAGAGAAGCUACAGCUCUCCCUUAUCUCUUUUAAAGUUAACACAUCACACUUUGUGCAUGCUCAGCAGCAAAGUUCCUAAUAUUGUUUCCCAAUAACCCACAGGUACGGUAUUGCAGUGCUGUUGCCGGCUGGUUUAUAAAGAGGGCGAGAGCAGGACAAGCAGCGAGGGUUCGCUGCCUCUCGCGACGCUCCCCUGGCCGCCGGCCAUCAGCACCUCGGGGACAUCCCGAACUAGAGGUUUGCACAGAGAUUACUGGGUUUAACUGCCAUCAGAGCAUGUGUCAGCCAUGAAUUUGUCUAAUCCUUCCUCGAACACAGUUACACUUUUGGCUCUGCAAUGCCCUCCGGCAACGGUUGCCACUGUUUAAUCAGGAGCUGUGCAAGAGUUUGCUUUAAAC